AUAUUAUAGCCUGAAGAAGAGCUCGCGUCCGAUUAGCUAGUUGGAGAGGUAAAAGCUCACCAGGCGACGAUCGGUAGCUGGUCUGAGAGGACGAUCAGNCACACUGGGACUGAGACACGGCCCAGACUCCUACCGGGAGGCAGCAGUGGGGGAAUUUUCCGCAAUGGGCGAAAGCCUGACGGAAGCAAGACCGCGUGGGGGGAAGAAGGCUCUUGGGUUUGUAAACCCCCUUUUCUCUGGGGAAGAAAGUUGUGAAAGCAGCCUGACGGUACCAGAGGAAUCAGCAUCGGCUAACUCCGUGCCAGCAGCCGCGGUAAGACGGAGGAUGCAGGCGUUAUCCGGAAUGAUUGGGCGUAAAGCGUCCGCAGGUGGCAGUUCAAGUCUGCUGUCAAAGACCGGGGCUCAACCUCGGAAAGGCAGUGGAAACUGAACAGCUAGAGUAUGGUAGGGGCAAAGGGAAUUCCUGGUGUAGCGGUGAAAUGCGUAGAGAUCAGGAAGAACAUCG
rnacentral:rRNA from 1 species